AUUAUCCUUCUUCCUUCCUGCUGUUUAUCACAUGUAUCCAUGCCCAGGCUAAUGAACACCAGCAGCCUGAUAAAAUGUCCGGAUGAUCUUUCUUUUGUAGACUGUCUACUGUUAUAAUUAGGCCAUGUGAAAUUAUAGCUAUACUUUCUUGAGCUGCUGCAGAUCCUUUUAACAGCGAAGAUAUUUAUGGCAGCCUACUCCAUGUAGGUUUUAAAGCGAAAAAUUGAAGAAGUUGUGAUGGCCACCCGGUAUACAUAUGGUCAGAAGCUGUGGGUGACUUCUUUUCAGCUGCUAUUGAGAUAUUUAUGUGCUCAUAGAUCACAACUCAUGAAGUUACUGCCUUUUGGUUUCGAUUUAUAAAUUUUAAAGUGGACAAUCUUUUGGUGGAUACAAUAGUCUGUUGUAUUUUUGUACUGUACUGAGUCUGAAAUAUUAUUUUGAUAUGAUACUAGACCUUGAUGUAAACUACUGAAGAUGAACUUGAAGUUGCUGCAAAGGCAUACAAAUUAUAUUCACACUAUGAAUGACAAUUACAAAAGUAAGCCUGAGUAUACAGAUUUUAUGUUCCUACUAAUUUUUUUGUCUUGCUUGAUAUGUGCAUGUUGUUUUAGUUUUUGGAAAUGUAACCCAGGCAUGUGAAAAUAAGCUAGCGUCGUUUUGGGAGAUUUUUUAACAACGGGGGGCUUCAAGGUGGUUUGAUUUUUUAACCAAUUAAUAAGAACUUUUGCGUAACAUUGGAUUACUGACCUCUUUCCUUCCUUCCUUCCCCAUCAUCAGUAAUUUAGUACAGUAUAUAUGCAAAUGAUCGAUGCAAUGCCAAUCUGUUUGUGCAAUGCAUGCAGGAUGACGCUUGUCAUGGACACUCGGGCUGUGGCAAAACCACCCUUUUGCUGGCACUUGUUGGAAAGCUCAACAAAGAUCUCAAGAUCUGAAAUUUCACGCAGAGAACAUUGUGUGCGGCGUAUUUCACUACUUUCUUCGUUCACAAAAAUACUGUUACCACUGAGGCUCUAUGUAUGUAGAUGUCUCACAAAUUGAGGUUGGUUAUUUCACUACUUUCAUUACUAACCUUUUCCCCCUUCAUUUUUUGCUUAUGCAUUUACAAUUCAGUCAUAAAGUUCAGUGUUUCACCGUUUUUUAGUCUGUUUCAUUUUCAGUUUAGUCAUUUCUUCAAAAAAACUUCCGUUUUUCAGUCGUUGUCAUUUACUCUUCAGUUAAAUGUGGUUAUUUUCACGUUGCCACUAUUCCGUGGGUUGCUAUCAACUGCUGCAAAGAUUCUUAAUCUUCUGUACACCUGAUGAUCAAUACAUUUCAGUUAUUAGUCUUUAGUACCCCUAAGGAUCAACACCCAAGUCUCAGUUUCAGUCUUAUUUCUUUUCUUUUUUAGUAUUCACCGAAUGUAACCCCCCCAAGUGUGAACUAGCUUUGUUGUUGCUGUUUGGAACUUUUUAGUAGGGCGCGGUGGUUUGUAGGACUUCACGGGUGUUGUACUAAAAUUCAGUUUCAAUGGAGUUCGGUUCAUUGAUGUUCUAGACUAGAUAUCAUUCAAAAAAUGGUCACACGUGGAUGUAGGAUCAUAGAAGAGUCAGGGGAAGAGGGAGGUACCUUGGUCAAUUGCCCAGGUGCAUUGGUGAUGUAAGCGGCAGGGCCAGAUGCUCUGAAUCAACAGGCCACCCCUCUGCCUGCCUUGCUCAUUCACACUUCUUUUUGGUUUGGGGAGGGCUGCGUCGCAAUCUGGGCCGGGCAGGACGCUAGAAACUGUGAGAAAAAAGUCCCGACCUGAGCCCCAAAUGAAAUUUGAUGAAUUUUUUUUCCAAAACUACCGUAUGAAGCGAAAACAAGUAUGUACACAAGUCAACCAGACAAUGGGCAAAAAUCUGGCCUGAACUGAAAUUAAAUACAGACGUCUGUUGAUUAGACACUCCCAUAAUAUAUGCCAGGAAUGUGUUUUCAUAUUGUUCAUUUUGUGGAUAUUUGAUAUAAGCAUAAAUGUAUCCUGAUAUUUGGCUUGGUACUCCAUUGUAUCACUAAUACAACCGAGUUCAGAGAAGGUCGGACUGUGCCUUGUCUACUACAUAUCUAAUAUAUUUAUCUUGAUAUUGCAGAAGCUUUUGUUUUAUUCUUGUAUCUAAUGCUUGAUCUGUUGUAUAGGUUGAUAUAGACACUCCCAUAAUAUAUGCCAGGAAUGUGUUUUCAUAUUGUUCAUUUUGUGGAUAUUUGAUAUAAGCAUAAAUGUAUCCUCAUAUUUGGCUUGGUACUCCAUUGUAUCACUAAUACAACCGAGUUCAGAGAAGGUCUGACUGUGCCUUGUCUACUACAUAUCUAAUAUAUUUAUCUUGAUAUUGCAGAAGCUUUUGUUUUAUUCUUGUAUCUAAUGCUUGAUCUGUUGUAUAGGUUGAUAUAGGUCUUGCAAUGGGCAUGUCAGGGACAGAAGUUGCUAAAGAAAGCUCCGACAUUAUAAUCUUGGAUGAUGACUUCACAUCUGUUGUGAAGGUUAGUGUUUUCUAAUGUUUUUUUUGAACAGAUCUUUGUUAGGAAGGAUAACCGUUCUCAGCAAUCAUGCUGAGAGUUUUUUUAUCGGAUGUACAAGGUCAUUGGAAUGGACCAAGUUAUGAGUGUUCCUGAAAUGCGAUACUAGGAUCUUUGUACGUCAACGCUCUUUGAUGCUUAUGAUUUUUUCCCUGUUUACAUACAAUUGUGUUGUUAACUCACUUUCAUGUUCUUGAUUGGCACAUAAUCAACUUAGAAAAAAAUAUUUGAGCUAAGGUGCAUCCAUUUCCCCCCCAAGCAGCUAACUUUUGUUAUGUACACUGUAGCUAUGGUUGUAGAACGCCCCCAUUUCUUUUGUUACUAUCAAAUUUCCUUGAUUCAACUAUGUGACUACAUGUUAUUAUAUGCCCAGGGUUAAUUAGUACCUUUAAUGCUACCUUUAGUUUGUGUAAAAGGUCCAAAGUAGUUUCUGCAAUUCUUAUUAUGCUUCCUGUGGUUCAAUAGUUUCAAUGGAUUUUGGUGUUUCUUUAAAAUUGAUAUUCGCUCUUAGUUCUUUGUUCUUUGGAGAGUAUAUUUCUUUUGUUGUGACUUGGUGUUAUAAAGACUGUCCUUUUUGGUCUGAUAAGGUAUAUGCUAAUCAUUUGUGAUUGUUGUGUUAGUGCACACGUAUUUAUUCAUAUCAAAAUUGUGUGUGUUUGUGUGGUUAAUACUCACUUCGUUUUGAUAUAUUUGUCUUCUAAUAACCCACCGUGCACAGGACAGACCAUGGAAGCAUCAACUUAUCGAGAAAUGACUUAUUAACCUAUUAAAAGACCAUACUGGAACCACCUAUGACAUAAUCUCUUCAAAUCAUUUAAGUAGGGGUGGGCAAUAGAAGCGUUGUAGUAACUGCUUGCUUGCUGAACGGACAAACAUUUUGACGAUGACUCUUGCUUUUAUGGAUAUACAGAGAUAAAUGGAUGGAUGUUGCCAAUACAGUAGAAAUCAUGGGUGCAACAAUUUUUAUGUCCAUGUUUUUCUUUUUGUCUGAAUGUGUGUGUAUACUAAUACUGGUUACAGGGCACUAUUUGCGCAGAAUUUACUUGACCUGUAGGAACUGGCUCUACUAUCUAGCUUUUAAAUGUAAUAAAUCUAGAAGGCAAUGGAGCAUUACUGUCUUUUUGUAAUGCUGUGUUGUAAGAACUAUUUGUUUUACUUUUCUCCUGCUUAAUAUAUAGGCAGUGACCUGCCAGUUCCUCAAAAAAAAAGCAUUACUAUCUUUCCCUCUUUCUACAUAAGCAAGAAAGCUAUGACUUGGAUUCUGGACAUGAAUCUUGUUAACCUGUUGAAGCAGAAAACUAUAGAUGCAGAGUCCAAUUAGUUGUCCUUUGUGCAUACACAAGAAAGUGGAAUUUGGAGUCUGGACAUGAAUCCUUGAGACUAAUGGCCAGAAACAGAACACAACAUGAUGACCUCCUACUUGAGUGAGACUCUGUGACUGCUCUCUUUUGGAAUACCAGCCAUGCGUGACAUGUUUAGUAGAACAGAGUGUGUCGUACGGCUGGUAGUUGUUGUUGCCUAUACAGAGUGUCAUGAUCUGAGGGUGUGAAUGCAAAUUACUUGUUAUAUAAACUAUAUGGAUGGACUUACUGGACAUUAAGAAAAGAUAUGAGAAAGAAUAUAGAGUGUGAAAUUUGCUAUAUAAAUUACUUGUUAUAUAAAAGUUGAAUCUCACGAUCCAACUUUUUAAAACUAUGCCACAACUUUUAUGAGGCCAUACAUUUUUCUUUUGAAAUCUGCAGGUUAUAGGGUUUGUACAUGGCGAUGUUACUGAACAGAAGGAGGUAAUUUCUUCGCUCUUUCUAUUGAUUAAUAUUGUUCUUCACUCUUUCUAAACUAUUGAAUUUAUUAAUAUUAUUCUUGCCUAACCCAACAAAACUUUGGUAUGCACUCACGUAUAAUCAGGGCUUGCUUAUUUUAAUUCUUGAAUUCAUUUUAUAAAUAUUAUAUCAUUAUUAUUUGUAAUGAGUUUUUCGUUUAUGAUUUCCAAUUGGGUAAUAUCCCAUCAUACUACUAGGCAUUGGCCAGGUACUAGACUUUGCCUGGUUGUCAAUAUAAGCUUUGUGUUCUCCUUUGUUUUUGCCUCAUUUAUAAAGUCCUUGAUUAAGCAUGCAUUUGAUUUCUAUGCCAACAUUGAUCUUAUUGCUCAUCAAAGGUAUCUAAAAGUUGUGUGCUUUGCAACAGAUGGGUUGUUUUAGUCAAUAGAAAUACCUCAUAUGUCAGUUUUGUUGCCAAAUAUUGUAAACACAGAUAUAUACAGAGUUCCUAGAACAAAAGAUGAUCUGGUGGUUACCUUUUUGUUAUCUACUCGAAUGACUGUACGUAUAUCUUACCUUCAGACUUUAUCCAAUCUUGGUUAAUUUUCCAUCUCCAAUCAGAUUAAUGGUUUGCAUGCAGAUCAAGCCCAGUGUUUUAUGGUGUUCUUAUUCCUGAUUUAGUUGUACAUUUGACUUUUAGUUUCGAUGUGUUAUCCGUACCCCUUCUUUUUGUGGCUAAUUAUUAUGUCCUAUCAACAUAUGCAUAGUCCAUGGUAUCAUACGAAUUGAAGUUGAAAAAUCAUGCUAUGGGUGAUACGGAAAAGUCAUUGGCUUCUUUGCUGGAACAUUUCCUAAGAUGAUCUAAGGUGAAGCAGUUAUGAAUAUCCUCGCUGAUCUAUGGAUCUAUCAUUGUAAGAGUCGACGAUAUAUGGUGAGGUGCCUCACACCAUCAUUUGGUCUUUGUAGCAUUUGAGUUGGCAAAUUUGUUGGAUUCGUGCGAUUAGGCAUGGUAAGUGCUCAGAGACCUCAUAGCUCUAUAAUUGUUUGCUUCCAAAAGUUCUGAAUCUUUUCUGCGCUUGGUCCUCUCAUUGGUGAGAGUAGCCAUGUAAAUCAAUCUACUAUGGGAAAUGGGAGUUUGUAAACUAUCGGCGUCUAAUUGCUGAGGGACGAGGUUUGUAACUGAGGGUCAAGUGCAGAGCUGGAGGAAGAAGUUGCGAGGCAUGGAGCUCAGGGACAACAGUGAGGACAAUGCCUCUUUAGUUGUAAUUGUGAUACUCCUGAUGUGAAAGUAAACACCCCUGUGAUACUCCUUAUGAUAAAAUGUUGGUUGUUAGUACAGAGGUGGUGAUUUCAUGAUUUAUGGUUAAUACAUGAUGUAAUACAAUCCACAUUGCAUAAUAUUUUCAGUUACAUCUCCUAUUUACUCACUACUAACAUUCUUUUUAAUUCGCUUCUUGCGCCAUUGGCGCAACCGGGUCAUCUAGUUCUCAAACAUCAACGACAUUGCCCACGAUGGUGCCCAUCAGGUUCUCAACUCUAGAUUAGAACCUGUCCUAGGUUGUACUCAUUUAGCUCAUAGCAUUGGCAUUGCCAUUCUCUGCUUCAUCCUCAUAACUUCCAAA